rnacentral:pre_miRNA from 1 species
AAAGGCAUUAUGGACAGACCUCACAUAUUUUGCCUCAGUGUGGAUUCUAUAAUGUCUUGU